CACGUAGGCACCAAGCGUUGUCCGGAUUUAUUGGGCGUAAAGCGCGCGCAGGCGGUCUCUUAAGUCUGAUGUGAAAGCCCCCGGCUCAACCGGGGAGGGUCAUUGGAAACUGGGAGACUUGAGUGCAGAAGAGAAGAGUGGAAUUCCACGUGUAGCGGUGAAAUGCGUAGAGAUGUGGAGGAACACCAGUGGCGAAGGCGACUCUUUGGUCUGUAACUGACGCUGAGACGCGAAAGCGUGGGGAGCAAACAGG
rnacentral:rRNA from 1 species